GGAGCUGUGGUAUAAUGGUUAGAAUUGAUCCCUGUCACGGAUCAGAUCCGGGGUUCAAUUCCCGGCAGCUUCG
rfam:Ectocarpus siliculosus strain Ec 32, whole genome shotgun sequence assembly, chromosome LG15